rnacentral:lncRNA from 1 species
AAAAAUUCUUGCCGCCAUAUUGUGGAGGACAGUAUUUCACAGAAGUAGUUUUGAAAUGUGAUAAAUAAUCUGUAAAUAUUCAGGUUCACUAAAGAACUACAAAAGAUGUGGCAGAGCUUUGAUACUUUCUCCCCUCCCCAGGUCUUGAAACACUUGCUUCCAACCCGGGAAUGCCCGUGAAAUGUCUGACUUCUAAUCUACUCCAGUCUAGGAAACGGCUGGCUACUUCUAGCACCAGCAGUCAGUCCCACACCUUCGUGUCCAGUGUGGAGUCAGAAUGCCACAGCAGCCCCAGAUGGGAAAAGCACUGCCAGGAAAGGGAUGAAGCUUUGGGCUGUACAAUGAUGAGCUGGAAUGCAGUGGAAAAGCUAUGUCCAAAAUCUGCAAAUGAUGUCAGUAUAAAAAGUUUCCAUAGAAAGGAUCUUGAGUUGUCCUUUUCUCUGAUUCAUAACAGCAGUGCCAUUCUUGCCACUGGAGGAUU